CAAUGUAUGACCUAAAUCUAUGUAUACAGCUCAAAACAAAAACUAAAAAUAUUUUUCGGCAAUGAGCAAUCUCAUUAGCUGAACUUUACAUAUUCAUUUUAUUAAGUUCAUAUUUUCAAUUAGAAUUUAAACCUCGGGAUUAAACACGUGUAUUUAGGUCAGAAUGGUCGUCUGCGCCUAUUGAACACAAUCCACUUCUUUUCUCUUACCAGCAAGGAGAGGUCCAUGGCGUAGCCGCCAUUGCUGUACAGUCGCAGAUCAACCGCCUCCAAAACCCCGUCCAUUGACACGCCCACCUGAUGACCCAAUGCAUAUCACGUGAAGUUUGCGAUAUUAAAAGACGCGAAGGGCGUGACGGGACCAAGUGCUGCACCAGACCCAGGCUGUCCAGAGGCAACUAAGCCAGCUGACUCCUGGGAAGGUGGUGCUGGCCGUGAGUCGGGAAGAGGAACAGCUGACUCCUGGGAAGGUGGUGCUGGCCGUGAGUCGGGAAGAGGAACAGCUGACUCCUGGAAAGGUGGUGCUGGCCGUGAGUCGGGAAGAGGAACAGCUGACUCCUGGGAAGGUGGUGCUGGCCGUGAGUCGGGAAGAGGAACAGCUGACUCCUGGGAAGGUGGUGCUGGCCGUGAGUCGGGAAGAGGAACAGCUGACUCCUGGGAAGGUGGUGCUGGCCGUGAGUCGGGAAGAGGAACAGCUGACUCCUGGGAAGGUGGUGCUGGCCGUGAGUCGGGAAGAGGAACAGCUGACUCCUGGGAAGGUGGUGCUGGCCGUGAGUCGGGAAGAGGAACAGCUGACUCCUGGGAAGGUGGUGCUGGCCGUGAGUCGGGAAGAGGAACAGCUGACUCCUG